UGCUUAACACAUGCAAGUCGAACGGCAGCACGACCUAGCUUGCUAGGUUGGUGGCGAGUGGCGAACGGGUGAGUAACGCGUAGGAAUAUACCUUAGAGAGGGGGAUAACCUGGGGAAACUCAGGCUAAUACCGCGUACGUUCUUCGGAAUAAAGCUGGGGACCGCAAGGCCUGGCGCUUUAAGAAUAGCCUGCGUCCGAUUAGCUAGUUGGUGGGGUAAGGGCCUACCAAGGCGACGAUCGGUAGCUGGUCUGAGAGGAUGAUCAGCCACACUGGGACUGAGACACGGCCCAGACUCCUACGGGAGGCAGCAGUGGGGAAUAUUGGACAAUGGGGGCAACCCUGAUCCAGCAAUGCCGCGUGUGUGAAGAAGGCCUGAGGGUUGUAAAGCACUUUCAGUGGGGAGGAGGGUUGAUAGGUUAAGAGCUAAUUAACUGGACGUUACCCACAGAAGAAGCACCGGCUAACUCCGUGCCAGCAGCCGCGGUAAUACGGAGGGUGCGAGCGUUAAUCGGAAUUACUGGG
rnacentral:rRNA from 1 species